rnacentral:rRNA from 1 species
UAAGGAAUAUUGGUCAAUGGGGGCAACCCUGAACCAGCCAUGCCGCGUGAAGGAUGACGGCCCUAUGGGUUGUAAACUUCUUUUCUACGAGAAUAAACCUCAGGACGUGUCCUGGGCUGAAGGUACCGUAGGAAUAAGGAUCGGCUAACUCCGUGCCAGCAGCCGCGGUAAUACGGAGGAUCCAAGCGUUAUCCGGAUUCAUUGGGUUUAAAGGGUGCGUAGGCGGAAUGAUAAGUCAGAGGUGAAAGCCAGCAGCUCAACUGUUGAACUGCCUUUGAUACUGUCAUUCUUGAAUAUAGUUGGAGUGGGCGGAAUGUGACAUGUAGCGGUGAAAUGCUUAGAUAUGUCACAGAACACCGAUCGCGAAGGCAGCUCACUAAACUAUUAUUGACGCUGAGGCACGAAAGCGUGGGGAGCAAACAGGAUUAGAUACCCCCGUAGUCC